AGCACUUCCUGCAGUGCCGAGCCGAGGCUGGGAGCGAGGAGCACCGGACAUAGUCUCUUACUUCUGGGACUUUCCUUCCCAUCGGAGACCCCCAGGGACCCAGUCCAGUUUGGAAGAAAGCAAGGAAAGGAGCAAUUAUAAGACCUUGGGUUGCAUCAUUUCAAGCAUACCUGGGCCACAAUGUGGUCAUGCUGCCGGCAUCCCGGCAGAGCAAACCCGCCCUCCCUAGAGGGGACACUUCGCCCCAGGAUUGCCACACGGGACUCCCAGAGGUAAAGCUGAAGAUGGCCAGCAACCUCACGUUGACUGCGCCGGCCACCAUCCUCAAUGUUCAGCAGGUAGGUCAAAGAGCAAGGAUAGACCGACCUGUGGACACUGCAAGGAGAUCUGCUGACAGGAUUAUCAGCACCGGCCAAGAGUGUUUGCUCUGUGCUGGGCAGUGUGCCAAGUGCUUCAGCAGUACUCAUCCACUCCAUCCUCACAGCAGCCCUCGGAGGUUGCUACCAGUGUUAAUUACCCCCAUGUUCCAGAUGAGGACAUGAGGGAAGCAUGACACAGAAGGCUUAAGUCGCUUGUUCAGAAUCACUAGAUGGCAAGUAGCAGAGGCAGGAUGUGGAUCAAGGACAUUGGCCUCCAGGGCCUGAUCCUAUUCCCGACUAUGCUCUACUGCCUCCGGCUCCCCCUUCCCUCCCUCCAAGGUGUGUGUGUGUGUGUGUGUGUGUGUGUGCGCGCGUGCGCGUGCGUGCGUGUGGAGUGGGAGGGGAGCCUGGCUGAAUAUCCCCCAGGCCUUGGGCCAUCACAUGAGAAAGGGAGGAGGAUAUGAAGAGAACCCAGUGUUCUCCUCUCAAGCUUGACUGGGUGAACUUUACCAACAAAGAUUCACAUUACUUUUGAAUUCUCAUGAGAUCAGAGAGCAGUUCUCAUGGAUGUUUGCAAAUCGUUUUCGUAACUGUGAUGUCAAGCU